CAACCAAGCAUUACAAUACAACAAACCUGUUGGUUUUAGGAUUUGGAGCCUGUUUUAAAUUUUAUGAUUAGACUACAAUAAACACGCAAAUAAUACCUGCAUUUUUAUCAUGAUUAGAUCUCUUUUCAUGUUGUAUUGCCGUCUGUACUAUGCUGGUAGAAAAAAUACCAAUGUCAGUGUGCCACUGGUCAUUGGUCAAAACUUAUUACACAUCAAAAUUUAUUAGACCAAAAAAGUUUAAAAUUACUGUAACGAUGUUAAAAUCAAACGUGUCCAGUAAAUGCGAUAGUUUCUUGUACUUUUCAUAUGGUGGCAAUAUGUUAACAUUCAGAAUUCACAUGCAUUGCCCUACGGCGGAAUUUUUGUCAAUAGCCAGAGUAGACAAUUAUAGACUGGAUUUCAUUAAAUACUCCAAGUUCUGGGGAGGCCCUACAGCUACUUUGGUUCCCACUGCAAACGCACACGUUUGGGGUGUACUUUGGCGCCUUCAUGAAAACGAUAUGUUAGCACUCGAUGCACAAAAAGGGGUAGAAGUAAAAAAAUAUUAUAUCAAAUACAUUGACGUAUUGACACCAUAUUUGGGAAAAUUCCAUUGCCGAGCUUAUGUACAAAAAGUGAACCCUUUGCCGAGAGGAGACAACGAUGAAAUUCCUGUUGAAAGGUGGCCUUCGUGGGCGUAUAAGGAAAUAAUGAUAGCCGGGGCGCGUGAAAACGGGUUACCUCCAUACUACAUUGAGGGCCUGAAGAAAAUGAAACACAAUGGAGAAGAAGGUUGGCUGAGAACAGUCUGUCUACUGAAUCGCUAUGCACGACAAAAACCUUGUCUAUGUAAAGUACCAGGGAGAAUUCCAAGAAAGCCACUAAAACUCGACUUGAAGAAAUAUAAACUUAAAAAAAUGAAAAGUAAGGGUACAUAGCCUAUUUAUUCCCACAUGAGAUA